CCUAACAGCAGACACAGACUAAUGGAGCUUGUCUUUACAGUGAAGGUUCCAUCAGACAGGAUGAAAGCCAGAUCCCUCCAGUCCUCCGGCACAGGAAGGCCGCUCGCUCCACCGAGUCCACGGGCGAUCGGCCAGCUGUGACAGCAGCGAGCAGCGGAGACGACAAUGGCGACUCCGACUCCGGAGCGCGCCUCCUUCACCCCGUCCUUCCUCCACCCGCACUCGGCCGGGUCAUCGUCAGCCCGUCUCCCGUGUGAGUGCUGGACGUCCGGUUGCACUUUAACCCUCGUUAGAGCCAAACUGUGUCCCUUCUAUUGAUCAGCAUAAAGCACACAUGCAACUGUCUGUGGAACACGUGAAGCGCCUGCCAAUGUUACCGUGCUGCUGGGAAGGAACUGAGAAGGAACGCUCAUGAAAUGAUGCAUUAGCUUCGCUAUUAUGUAUGAAUGUUUUGCCUUUUUGUCAGAUGUGUUUAUAAAAAAAAUAGUUCCUCACUAAAAAAAGUUCCUUUUUUUUUUAUAUAUUCUUUUACCAAAUGAGUUUGUAGUAAUACCUUCUGCACUAUACUGUCUCUGAAUAGACCUUUGAGUCACCCUGACGGGAAGGGGACACAGCUCCGUUUACAAAAGAGGUCCAAGGGCUCGAGGAGCUUCACGUCCACCCGUGGAGGUCAGGCUGAAGGUCCUAUUCAGGCCCCUCAGGUUCCAGCCUCUUUCACCACAAAUGAAUCACACCUCCACACGCUGCUGCCCGCCACAUGUGUCCGGUGCCUUCAACAAAAACAUGUCCAACCACCGGGACAGUCCCUUGAGUCUGAGACAAAAGGGCAGUUUGAGGUCUUUACAAGGGGACUGUGUGUGUCUUUGUGUCUCCUCCACCCAGAGGACUAACCUAGACGCACAUAUUGGCUUAGUCAUUGCAAAUGUUUCAUCAGCACCAGUGGACUGCGAUUAAAGACGU
ensembl:lncRNA